rnacentral:lncRNA from 1 species
AAUAGAAUACUAACAAUGCUCUAAUUAGACCAUAAUAAUGCUAAGUAAGUUUAAUCAAAUUCAAAAAAACCUCAAAGAAAUUUCAAACAAAUAAUAAAAAUUCUUAAAGAAAUAUUAGAAGGAUCACAAAUAUCACUCAAAUAUAUCUCAUUUCAAUCUUAAUUUAAUUCUAGUUAAAAUCCUAUUGAACUUUAUUCAAAAUUUAGGCCAAAACUAAUUAAAUCUUAAAUCCUAAUAAAAUCCUAAAUCCUAAAUCAAACCCUAAACAAAACUUAAACCAAAUCGCAACCAAAUCCUAAACCAAAUCCUAACCAAAUCCUAAGCCAAAUCCUAAAUCCUAAAUCAAACCCUAAUCAAAUCCUAAUCCAAAUCCUAAACCCUAAAAUAAACCCUAAUCCAAAUCCUAAACCAUAAAUAAAAUCCUAAUUAAAUCCUAAAUCCUAAAUUAAAUCCUAAUCCAAACCAUAAAUCUUAAACCAAACUUUAAACCCUAAAUAAAAUUCUAAUCUAAAUUCUUCUUCUUCAUAUUCGCUAUUCAAAUCAAAAUCAUCUUGUUGUCUUAAAAGAUUUA